rnacentral:rRNA from 1 species
AAAAAAUCCGCUGUAACGUUAAUGCUGAGGCGUGAUGGGGAAGGCCCUUGAGGCUGAAGUACAUGAUUCCAUGCUUCCAAGAAAAGCAUCUAGAGAGAGAAGUAGUGCCCGUACCGCAAACCGACACAGGUAGAUGAGGAGAGAAUCCUAAGGCCGGCGGAAGAAUUGCAGUUAAGGAACUAGGCAAAUUGACCCCGUAAGUUAGCGAGAAGGGGUGCCUGCGAGAGCAGGCCGCAGAGAAUAGGCCCAAGCAACUGUUUAGCAAAAACACAGGUCUCUGCUAAAGCGCAAGCUGAUGUAUAGGGGCUGACGCCUGCCCGGUGCCGGAAGGUUAAGGGGAACACUUAGCGCAAGCGAAGGUGUGAACUUAAGCCCCAGUAAACGGCGGCCGUAACUAUAACGGUCCUAAGGUAGCGAAAUUCCUUGUCAGGUAAGUUCUGACCCGCACGAAUGGCGUAAUGACUUGGGCACUGUCUCAACUGCAAAUCCGGCGAAGUUGUAGUGCGAGUGAAGAUGCUCGCUACCCGCGAUUGGACGGAAAGACCCCGUAGAGCUUUACUGUAGCUUAGCAUUGAAUUCCGGUAUUGUCUGUACAGGAUAGGUGGGAGACUGGGAAACUAGGGCGACAGCCUUAGUGGAGUCGUCCUUGGGAUACCACCCUGACAGUACUGGGGUUCUAACAGGACGCCAUGAAUCUGGUGACUGGACAUUGUUAGGUGGGCAGUUUGACUGGGGCGGUCGCCUCCUAAAAAGUAACGGAGGCGCCCAAAGGUUCCCUCAGAACGGUCGGAAAUCGUUCGUAGAGUGCAAAGGCAGAAGGGAGCCUGACUGCGAGACCUACAAGUCGAGCAGGGACGAAAGUCGGGCUUAGUGAUCCGGUGGUACCUCGUGGGAGGGCCAUCGCUCAACGGAUAAAAGCUACCUCGGGGAUAACAGGCUGAUCUCCCCCAAGAGUCCACAUCGACGGGGAGGUUUGGCACCUCGAUGUCGGCUCGUCGCAUCCUGGGGCUGUAGUAGGUCCCAAGGGUUGGGCUGUUCGCCCAUUAAAGCGGCACGCGAGCUGGGUUCAGAACGUCGUGAGACAGUUCGGUCCCUAUCCGUCGCGGGCGUAGGAAAUUUGAGAGGAGCUGUCCUUAGUACGAGAGGACCGGGAUGGACUGACCUCUGGUGCACCAGUUGUUCUGCCAAGAGCAUGGCUGGGUAGCUAAGUCGGGAAGGGAUAAACGCUGAAAGCAUCUAAGCGUGAAGCCUCCCUCAAGAUGAGAUUUCCCAUAGCAUAAGCUAGUAAGACCCCUUGAAGAACACGAGGUUGAUAGGUCAGAGGUGUAAGUGUGGUAACAUAUUUAGCUGACUGAUACUAAUAGGUCGAGGGCUUGACC